CCUACGGGUGGCAGCAGUGAGGAAUAUUGGUCAAUGGGCGUAAGCCUGACCCAGCGAAGUCGCGUGAGGGAUGAAGGUUCUAUGGAUCGUAAACCUCUUUUAUAAGGGAAUAAAGUGCGGGACGUAUUCCGUAUUGUAUGUACCUUACGAACAAGGAUAGGCUAACCCCGUGCCAGCAGCCGCGGUACUACGGAGGAUACGAGGGUUAACCUGAUUUAUUGGGUUUAACGGGAGCGUAGGCUGCCUUUUAAGUCAGGGGUGAAGUUCUGUGGCUCAACCUGAGAAUUGCCGUUGAAACUGGGAGACUUGAGUGUGUGUGAGGCAGGCGGAAUGCGUGGUGUAGGAGUGAAAUGCUUAGAUAUCACGCAGAACCCCAGUGGCGAAGGCAGCCUGCCGGGACAUGACUGACGCUGAGGCACGAAAGCGUGGGGAGCAAACAGGAUUAGAUACCCCUGUAGUC
rnacentral:rRNA from 1 species